rnacentral:rRNA from 1 species
UACGAAGGGUGCAAACGUUGCUCGGAAUCAUUGGGCGUAAAGCGCACGUAGGCGGCUUCGCAAGUCGGAUGUGAAAUCCCUCGGCUCAACCGAGGACGUGCAUCCGAAACUGCGAAGCUUGAGUACUGAAGAGGAUCGCGGAAUUCCCGGUGUAGAGGUGAAAUUCGUAGAUAUCGGGAGGAACACCAGUGGCGAAGGCGGCGAUCUGGGCAGUUACUGACGCUGAGGUGCGAAAGCGUGGGGAGCAACAGG